UACGGGAGGCAGCAGUGGGGAAUAUUGCACAAUGGGCGCAAGCCUGAUGCAGCCAUGCCGCGUGUAUGAAGAAGGCCUUCGGGUUGUAAAGUACUUUCAGCGGGGAGGAAGGCGAUGCGGUUAAUAACCGCGUCGAUUGACGUUACCCGCAGAAGAAGCACCGGCUAACUCCGUGCCAGCAGCCGCGGUAAUACGGAGGGUGCAAGCGUUAAUCGGAAUUACUGGGCGUAAAGCGCACGCAGGCGGUCUGUUAAGUCAGAUGUGAAAUCCCCCGGGCUUAACCUGGGAACUGCAUUUUGAACUGGCAGGCUUGAGUCUUGUAGAGGGGGUAGAAUUCCAGGUGUAGCGGUGAAAUGCGUAGAGAUCUGGAGGAAUACCGGUGGCGAAGGCGGCCCCUGGGACAAAGACUGACGCUCAGGUGCGAAAGCGUGGGGAGCAAACAGGAUUAGGAUACC
rnacentral:rRNA from 1 species